rnacentral:rRNA from 1 species
AGAGUUUGAUCAUGGCUCAGGAUGAACGCUAGCGGCAGGCUUAACACAUGCAAGUCGAGGGGUAGAGGAAGCUUGCUUCCUUGAGACCGGCGCACGGGUGCGUAACGCGUAUGCAAUCUACCUUAUACAGGGGGAUAGCCCAGAGAAAUUUGGAUUAAUACCCCAUAGUAUAAUUGAAUGGCAUCAUUUAAUUAUUAAAGUUCCAACGGUAUAAGAUGAGCAUGCGUCCCAUUAGCUAGUUGGUGUGGUAACGGCACACCAAGGCGACGAUGGGUAGGGGUCCUGAGAGGAGAUCCCCCACACUGGUACUGAGACACGGACCAGACUCCUACGGGAGGCAGCAGUGAGGAAUAUUGGUCAAUGGGCGCAAGCCUGAACCAGCCAUGCCGCGUGCAGGAUGACGGUCCUAUGGAUUGUAAACUGCUUUUGUACAGGAAGAAACACUCCCUCGUGAGGGAGCUUGACGGUACUGUAAGAAUAAGGAUCGGCUAACUCCGUG